rnacentral:rRNA from 1 species
GACAGAGGAUGCAAGCGUUAUCCGGAAUGAUUGGGCGUAAAGCGUCUGUAGGUGGCUUUUCAAGUCCGCCGUCAAAUCCCAGGGCUCAACCCUGGACAGGCGGUGGAAACUGCCAAGCUGGAGUACGGUAGGGGCAGAGGGAAUUUCCGGUGGAGCGGUGAAAUGCGUAGAGAUCGGAAGGAAGACCAGUGGCGAAGGCGGGUCUCUGGACAGUUCCUGACGCUGAUGCACGAAGGCCAGGGGAGCAAACGGG